rnacentral:rRNA from 1 species
CCCUUAGAUGUUCUGGGCCGCACGCGCGCUACACUGAUGCAUUCAACGAGUUUCUUCCUGGUCCGAGAGGAAUGGGUAACCUUUUGAAAGUGCAUCGUGAUAGGGAUAGACUAUUGCAAUUAUUGGUCUUCAACGAGGAAUUCCUAGUAGACGUAGUUCAUCAGACUGCAUCGAUUACGUCCCUGCCCUUUGUACACACCGCCCGUCGCUCCUACCGAUUGAAUGUGUUGGUGAGGAGUUCGGAUUGGCAGCUGGUGGUGGUUCGCCACCGCCUGCAGCUGAGAAGUUCUCCAAACCGCCCCAUUUAGAGGAAGGAGAAGUCGUAACA